AUCAAUGAGACUGGUUUCUUUCUUGCACAUACUUCACUAACAAUCAGACCAAUAUAUCUAGCACUCGCACCCUGUUGACCUCUGCUGACUCCCGCUUGCAACAUCAAUGGUGUCUGGCAGGUAUCUGUCAUUGUU